rnacentral:tRNA from 1 species
GCUCGCAUAGCUCAAUGGUAGAGCACGGCUUUCGUAAAGCCGGGGUUGUGGGUUCGACUCCCUCUGCGAGCUCCA